GCAAAACGAAUUUAGAGAAAACCUUGUCCUUUUGGGUAAUUUCCAAGGAAAACAAAACAGCAAUCCUUGAAUCUAAUAUAGGGUUUAUAUGCACGACGCUGUGAUCGAAACCAGAAGCAGGUGAAUCAGAAUCGAGAAAAUCGAUAACAAUCUUCUUCUUCACAAAGAGUUAUUAUGGGUUCGUCGAGAGAAAAAGAACAAGCGCCGCCACAUCAUCACCAACCUCUCUUGAGCAGCCUCGUCGUUCGCCCAUCCCAUAGCGAGGCCGCCGCCGCCGCCGGUGGUCGCUCCUCCGAUUACGAGCCGGGCGAACUCCACCGCGAUCUUCCUCCCCCUUAUUCCCGCUCCGAUCGAUAUCCCGACGAACCUGCUCUGAUGUUGCCUCCAAGAUCUUGGGCCUUGAGGAAGGCAUGUUGCCGUGAACUCAGCUUUGGAUCAUUAUCUGGGAAUUUAUUUUUACUUAAAAGGGUUAAUAAGUGUGUUGGCUGAUGGAAAUAGUCCAUUCUGCAUGAUCUUGUGGGGGGUUUUGCAGCUUGCAUGGGUUCUCAUUUUGCAGAGUCAUGGUAUAUGUUUUUUGGUUUGGGAUAUUUGUGAUGAUAAAGACAGUGUCAAGUUUAAUGGAAUCUGGGAUACAACUUGAAGUUAUUAUCAUACAUGGUACAGUGUGGACAAUGCACUAGAACAUCAAUAUGGUUACCGGUUUUGUAGAGGAAAGAAACUGAUCAUUACAAACUUUUUUUGGUGAAUAACCUUAAGUUAUAACCAAUGUUUGGCUGAUAUAUCUAGGUUCUGCCUCAAGAGGUUUUUGGGGGUGGGUGAAUUGCUAAUUUGCUACCUUUGGGCAAGCUGACCUGAAUUUUGGAAAGAUAGUGUUUACUGAUGAUAAACUUGUGUUAUUGGUUAUAUGUGGUUUUUUGUCAUUGAACUCCUGGUUAUUUCGAUUCCAGCUACAUGUUUGCCGGUUUACUUUUGGAAUUGUCCUUGCAAUGGUUAUUUUGGCUGGUUGUUGUCAUUUUAGUUUCUAUGGCUUUUCUUCUUUGGUUGGUUCAUUAGGGGCGAUUCAGAUGGUUAUUUAUUUACAACAGGGAAGGCUGCUUUCCAGAAUAGUGAUUCCUUUCCACAAUGGAAAUUUAGAAACUUCUGUUAUCAUGUGAUUGUAUAGCUUCUGCUGAAUUCUUAAUAUUUUCAUGUUGAUGAAUUGGCUGGGGGUAUUGAUAUGGUACAGAAAAGGGAUGCAUAUCUUCUUACAAUGAAGGAAUGCACUUCUCCAUGUCCAAUUUCUUUCGCCUGUUGUUUUGAAGUUAAUUGAGGGCAUAGUAAAAGAGGAGUGAAUUGGCUGCUGGCAAUGUUUCUCUUGUACAAUGCACAUGGAUUCAAUAUGUCUCAUCUGUUUGGGCCAUUAAUUUGUAUGGUUUUCGGUAAUUUGGUGAACUAUGUUGCUUGCUUCUACCUUUGGCUGUUCACAGAAGACUUAUAGAGAUGGUUCCAAAGAGAGUCCAACAACUGGUUGAUUGGGGCAAAUUAUUGAAGUUUGGGAUUCUUUGCUCAAUGAUGAUGUUUGUGGAUGGUUGUUUCCUUUUGGCGUACAUUCCGAUCUUGUGCCUUUCUAAAGAGUGAAAUGACAUUGGUCUAUUGUUUGUCAUGUUGGAUUAGCUUUUUGUAGGGGUUAGCUCGUACACUUUACCAGGUUUUGAACUUGGUUCUUAUUUUAUGCUGCUGCACCUAGGCUGUUACUCUGAAAUUUGAAUUUGGAUUUGAUAUGUCAGAUUGUUAGGUUUAAUGAUUUGCAAAUUUAACUAUGUCAUGGUAUAUGAUAUAGCAUUCAGAGAUUGAAAGAAUUGGAAUCAAGGAUAUAAAGGAGAUAUCGUAUGUGUUAGUGGAAGCUUGCUCAUAGAACCUGUUUACUUUAUGGUAACAUGGAUCAGGUGUUUGGGAAGUGAUGUUGAAGGUGUUAUCAUGAUAUAGAAUUCGUGCAGGUUCGUCGUCUCCUGUUCACCGCAGAGAUGCAGAUCACCGUUUUGGUUCUGAUUAUAAUCACUUGUCACGGAGCCGUGGAUAUGGUGGUGGGAGAGAUCCUGGAAGAUAUAGAGAGCUUUCACCCCCAUAUGGUCGAGGUAGAGUAGGUGGCAGGCCAAUUGGGAGAACUUUUGAUGGACCUGGCUUUGCUCCUGGACUUGCUAGAGGGGAAGGCAACAAUAGAAAUAAUCCCAACGUGCGUCCCAGGGAGGGAGAUUGGAUUUGUCCUGAUCCCUUAUGUGGCAAUCUUAACUUUGCAAGACGGGACUACUGUAACAGCUGUAACAGGUCUCGUCAUGCACCUGCUAGAAGUCCCCGGAGGGCCUACCCUGCUCCUCCCCCACUUCACGCUCCUCCUAGACGCUUUCCUGGGCCUCCAAUUGACCGCUCCCCAGAAAGGGCUCUGAAUGGCUACAGAUCUCCUCCUCGUGGGUUAGCAAGGGAUGGCCCUAGAGAGUAUGGAUCUACUGCUGUGCCACCUCUCAGGCAUGAAGGAAGGUUUUUGGAUCCCCAUGUGCGUAGAGAGCGUGUGGAUUACAUAGAAGAUGCCUAUAGGGGUAGAAGCAAGUUUGAUAGGCCACCCCCACUGGACUGGGAUAAUAGAGAUCGUGGAAGAGAUGGUUUCAAUGACGAACGGAAAGGAUUUGAGAGGAGGCCACUAUCACCCCCUGCACCUCUUUUGCCAUCACUUCCUCACCACCGUGGUGGUCGGUGGGCUCGUGAUGCGAGGGAGAGAAGCCGCUCUCCAGUGAGAGGCGGCCCACCACCAAAAGACUAUCGCCGAGCUAUGUUGAUGAAUCGUGCAAGAGAUGAUAGGCGCGGCUUGGGACGAGAUAGAAUUGGAGGAAUGUAUUAGCUAUGGGUGUUUAAUGUAUUUUGUACUGUAAUGUUUAGCUUCAUUGGAUGUUUGAGAUAAGGAGUUGGAGACGUUAGUUCCUAAAUCUUCACAAUGGGUUAAUGCAUUGGAAAACUUUUUGACAUUGUGUACUGUAAUGUUUAGCUUCAUUGGAUGUUUGAGACAAGGAGUUGGAGACGUUAGUUCCUAAAUCUUCACAAUGGGUUAAUGCAUUUGAAAACUUUUUGACAUUGUGUACUUAAUUGUUUGGUUUAUCGGUCUGUUUUGUUCCUCAAUAUUUUUUUUCAGACUUGUCAAACUGUUUGAUGAUGGAGAAUACGCCUUUCUUAAUUUUAUUGAAUAGCAUCGAUAUUUUCGUAAUGUUAUUGAAAUUGAUUUUAGACUUUUGUC